rnacentral:rRNA from 1 species
UACGUAGGUGGAAAGCGUUAUACGGAAUUACUGGGCGUAAAGCGCACGCAGGCGGCUGUCCAAGUCUGACGUGAAAGCUCCUGGCUUAACUGGGAGAGGUCGUUGGAAACUAGAUGGCUUGAGGUGAGGAGAGGGGUGUAGAAUUCCCGGUGUAGUGGUGGAAUGCGUAGAGAUCGGGAGGAAUACCAGUGGCGAAAGCGGCACCCUGGCCUUGGCCUGACGAUCAGGUGCGAAAGAGUGGGUAGCGAACGGG